AACGAACGCUGGCGGCAUGCCUAACACAUGCAAGUCGAACGAGACCUUCGGGUCUAGUGGCGUACGGGUGCGUAACGCGUGGGAACCUGCCCUUAGGUUCGGAAUAACUCCCCGAAAGGGGUGCUAAUACCGGAUAAUGUCUUCGGACCAAAGAUUUAUCGCCUCUGGAUGGGCCCGCGUUGGAUUAGCUCGUUGGUAGGGUAAUAGCCUACUAAGGCGACGAUUCAUAGCUGGUCUGAGAGGAUGAUCAGCCACACUGGGACUGAGACACGGCCCAGACUCCUACGGGAGGGAGCAGUGGGGAAUAUUGGACAAUGGGCGAAGGCCUGAACCAGCAAUGCCGCGUGAGUGAUGAAGGCCUUAGGGUUGUAAAGCUCUUUUACCCGGGAUGAUAAUGACAGUACCGGGAGAAUAAGCUCCGGCUAACUCCGUG
rnacentral:rRNA from 1 species